rnacentral:rRNA from 1 species
CCUACGGGAGGCAGCAGUGGGGAAUAUUGGGCAAUGGGCGAAAGCCUGACCCAGCAACGCCGCGUGAAGGAAGAAGGCUUUCGGGUUGUAAACUUCUUUUGACAGGGAAGAGCAGAAGACGGUACCUGUCGAAUAAGCCACGGCUAACUACGUGCCAGCAGCGGCGGGAAUACGUAGGUGGCAGGCGUUGUCCGGAUUUACUGGGUGUAAGGGGCGUGUAGCCGGGCUGACAAGUCAGAUGUGAAAUCCGGGGGCUCAACCCCCGAACGGCAUUUGAAACUGUUGGUCUUGAGUAUCGGAGAGGCAGGCGGAAUUCCUAGUGUAGCGGUGAAAUGCAUAGAUAUUAGGAGGAACACCAGUGGCGAAGGCAGCCUGCUGGACGACAACUGACGGUGAGGCACGAAAGCGUGGGGAGCAAACAGGAUUAGAUACCCCAGUAGUC